rnacentral:rRNA from 1 species
UACAGAGGGUGCGAGCGUUGAUCGGAAUUACUGGGCGUAAAGCGUGCGUAGGCGGUCGUGCAAGUCGGGUGUGAAAGCCCCGGGCUCAACCUGGGAAUUGCAUUCGAGACUGCACGGCUGGAGUGCGGAAGAGAGAAGCGGAAUUUCCGGUGUAGCGGUGAAAUGCGUAGAUAUCGGAAGGAACAUCAGUGGCGAAAGCGGCUUCCUGGUCCAGCACUGACGCUCAGGCACGAAAGCGUGGGGAGCAAACAGG